rnacentral:rRNA from 1 species
GAUGAACGCUGGCGGCGUGCUUAACACAUGCAAGUCGAACGGAAGUUUUAAAUGGAAGUUUUCGGAUGGAAAUUUAAAACUUUAGUGGCGGACGGGUGAGUAACGCGUGGGUAACCUGCCGUAUACAGGGGGAUAACACUUAGAAAUAGGUGCUAAUACCGCAUAAGCGCACAGUAUCGCAUGAUACAGUGUGAAAAGCCUUGACGGUAUACGAUGGACCCGCGUCUGAUUAGCUAGUUGGUGAGGUAGAGGCUCACCAAGGCGACGAUCAGUAGCCGGCCUGAGAGGGUGACCGGCCACAUUGGGACUGAGACACGGCCCAAACUCCUACGGGAGGCAGCAGUGGGGAAUAUUGCACAAUGGGGGAAACCCUGAUGCAGCGACGCCGCGUGAGUGAAGAAGUAUUCGGUAUGUAAAGCUCUAUCAGCAGGGAAGAAAAUGACGGUACCUGACUAAGAAGCCCCGGCUAACUACGUG